AAUAGAGGGAGAAUUGUUGUUUUCUGAAAAUGCAAAAGCACAGAAGCAUCGGUUCAAAGUCUUUUAGACAAAGUUCUGAGAAAACUGAACUGUACAGACCCAAAACACCAAUGGGAUCAGCUGAGGAUGCACCCAAAACCCCAUUGGAAUCAGCUGAGGAGGUCAAGCAAUGGGAGGAAGCUAGGUGUCCGAUCUGCAUGGAGCACCCUCAUAAUGCUGUUCUUUUACAAUGUUCUUCUUACGAUAAAGGUUGUCAUCCUUAUAUGUGCAACACGAGCUACCGCCAUUCAAAUUGCCUUGAUCAAUUCUGCAAGUCAUCUGUGUCAUCCCCUUCGACAUUAACAAUACAAGGAAUCCCCAGUGCUAGAUCAAACUUGAAUAGAACUGGGCAAACCAAUAUUUAUGGGAGGGAGUCGGAGCAUAAACUUAGUUGCCCUUUGUGUCGUGGAGAAAUCCAUGGAUGGUUUGUGAUAGAGCCUGCUAGAAAAUUCAUGAAUUCCAAAGCAAGGAUUUGUUCUAAUGCAACUUGUGAUUUUAGUGGGAAUUAUUUAGAACUUAGGAAGCAUGCAAGGUCGAAUCACCCUUCUGUCCGGCCAUCAGAGGUGGAUCCAGAACGGCAGCAUGAUUGGAGAAGGAUGGAACGUGAAAGUGACCUUUCAGACAUAGUUAGUUUGAUCCUUGCUGGAGGAGUAGAAGAAGAAGGUGACCAGACAAGGCUGGAACAUGACAGUGAUUUUUCGGACAUGGUUAGUAUGUUCCAGGCAACAAAUGGGGGAGAAGAAGAG
rnacentral:misc_RNA from 1 species